CCUACGGGAGGCAGCAGUGGGGAAUUUUGGACAAUGGGCGAAAGCCUGAUCCAGCAAUGCCGCGUGAGUGAAGAAGGCCUUCGGGUUGUAAAGCUCUUUUGUCAGGGAAGAAACGGUGAGAGCUAAUAUCUCUUGCUAAUGACGGUACCUGAAGAAUAAGCACCGGCUAACUACGUGCCAGCAGCCGCGGUAAUACGUAGGGUGCAAGCGUUAAUCGGAAUUACUGGGCGUAAAGCGUGCGCAGGCGGUUUUGUAAGUCUGAUGUGAAAUCCCCGGGCUCAACCUGGGAAUUGCAUUGGAGACUGCAAGGCUAGAAUCUGGCAGAGGGGGGUAGAAUUCCACGUGUAGCAGUGAAAUGCGUAGAUAUGUGGAGGAACACCGAUGGCGAAGGCAGCCCCCUGGGUCAAGAUUGACGCUCAUGCACGAAAGCGUGGGGAGCAAACAGGAUUAGAUACCCUGGUAGUCCACGCCCUAAACGAUGUCUACUAGUUGUCGGGUCUUAAUUGACUUGGUAACGCAGCUAACGCGUGAAGUAGACCGCCGUGGGGAGUCGGUUCGCAAGAUUAAAACUCAAAUUGAAUUGACCGGGNGUUGAGACGNGCGACGGACGACGACGAGGGAGGAGG
rnacentral:rRNA from 1 species